rnacentral:rRNA from 1 species
AGUGAACGCUGGCGGCGUGCCUAAUACAUGCAAGUCGAACGGAGUGGCGCACGGGUGAGUAAUAUAUAGCUAAUCUGCCCCUUGCUGGAGGACAACAGUUAGAAAUGACUGCUAAUACACCAUAGCAAGGGAUGAGACUAUAUCGUAUCAGCUAGUCGGUGGGGUAACGGCCUACCGAGGCUAUGACGCGUAACUGGUCUGAGAGGGUGAUCAGUCAGUUUGGAACUGAGACAGUGUGCAAACGGCUACGGGAGGCGGCAGUAGGGAAUGAUGCGCAUUGGGGGAAACCCUGAGGCAGCGACGGCGUGUGGAGGUUGACACGUUUCGUAGCGUAAACUCCUUUUGUUAGGAAUGGGGUACCUGACGAAUAAGCACCGGCUAACGCCGUGCCAGCAGCCGCGGUAAUUC